rnacentral:rRNA from 1 species
UACAGAGGUCUCAAGCGUUGUUCGGAUUCAUUGGGCGUAAAGGGUGCGUAGGUGGCGUCGUAAGUCGGGUGUGAAAUUUCGGAGCUUAACUCCGAAACUGCAUUCGAUACUGCCGUGCUUGAGGACUGGAGAGGAGACUGGAAUUACGGUGUAGCGGUGAAAUGCGUAGAUAUCGUAAGGAAGACCAGUGGCGAAGGCGGGUCGUCUGGACAGUUCCUGACGCUGAGGCACGAAGGUCAGGGGAGCAAACGGG